rnacentral:piRNA from 1 species
UGUCCGUGGCUAAUUACGUCUUUCUAGUGU